rnacentral:rRNA from 1 species
UGGGGAAUUUUGGACAAUGGGGAAACCCUGAUCCAGCCAUCCCGCGUGUGCGAUGAAGGCCUUCGGGUUGUAAGCACUUUUGGCAGAAAGAAACGUCGCGGGUUAAUACCCCGCGAAACUGACGGUACCUGCAGAAUAAGUACCGGCUAACUACGUGCCAGCAGCCGCGGUAAUACGUAGGGUGCAAGCGUUAAAUCGGAAUUACUGGGCGUAAAGCGUGCGCAGGCGGUUCGGAAAGAAAGAUGUGAAUCCCAGAGCUAACUUUGGAACUGCAUUUUUAAGCUACCGGGCUAGAGUGUGUCAGAGGGAGGUGGAAUUCCGCGUGUAGCAGUGAAAUGCGUAGAUAUGCGGAGGAACACCGAUGGCGAAGGCAGCCUCCUGGGAUAACACUGACGCUCAUGCACGAAAGCGUGGGGAGCAAACAGGAUUAGAUACCCUGGUAGUCCACGCCCUAAACGAUGUCAGCUAGCUGUUGGGGCCCUUCGGGCCUUGGUAGCGCAGCUAACGCGUGAAGUUGACCGCCUGGGGAGUACGGUCGCAAGAUU